GGAGAGAUGCAAGAGUGGUUUAAUUGGCACGCCUGGAAAGCGUGUGUACUUCAAAAGGGUACCGAGGGUUCGAAUCCCUCUCUCUCCG
rnacentral:tRNA from 1 species